UUGCUGAUUCGCUGACGAGUGGCGGACGGGUGAGUAAUGUCUGGGAAACUGCCUGAUGGAGGGGGAUAACUACUGGAAACGGUAGCUAAUACCGCAUAACGUCGCAAGACCAAAGAGGGGGACCUUCGGGCCUCUUGCCAUCGGAUGUGCCCAGAUGGGAUUAGCUAGUAGGUGGGGUAACGGCUCACCUAGGCGACGAUCCCUAGCUGGUCUGAGAGGAUGACCAGCCACACUGGAACUGAGACACGGUCCAGACUCCUACGGGAGGCAGCAGUGGGGAAUAUUGCACAAUGGGCGCAAGCCUGAUGCAGCCAUGCCGCGUGUAUGAAGAAGGCCUUCGGGUUGUAAAGUACUUUCAGCGGGGAGGAAGGGAGUAAAGUUAAUACCUUUGCUCAUUGACGUUACCCGCAGAAGAAGCACCGGCUAACUCCGUGCCAGCAGCCGCGGUAAUACGGAGGGUGCAAGCGUUAAUCGGAAUUACUGGGCGUAAAGCGCACGCAGGCGGUUUGUUAAGUCAGAUGUGAAAUCCCCGGGCUCAACCUGGGAACUGCAUCUGAUACUGGCAAGCUUGAGUCUCGUAGAGGGGGGUAGAAUUCCAGGUGUAGCGGUGAAAUGCGUAGAGAUCUGGAGG
rnacentral:rRNA from 1 species